GAGUUUGAUCCUUGCUCAGGAUGAACGCUGGCGGUAUGCUUAACACAUGCAAGUUUUACGGUAUUUGAUUUUUCAAUUUACCGUGGCGGACGGGUGAGUAAUAGGAUAGAAUCUACGUUUAGGUGAGGGAUAACGCUCGGAAACGUUCGGUAAUACCUCAUAAUGCUACUAAGUUAAAAAGUUUUACUUGCCUAAACAUGAGCUAUCUUCUGAUUAGUUUGUUGGUGAGGUAACGGCUUACCAAGACUUUGAUCAGUAGUUGAUUUGAGAGGAUGGUCAACCACACUGGGACUGAGAUACGGAACAGACUUCUACGGAAGGCAGCAGUGAGGAAUAUUGCACAAUGGGCGAAAGCCUGAUGCAGCAAUACCGCGUGGAGGAAGAAGGUUUUUGAAUUGUAAACUCCUUUUCUCAAAAAAGAAUAAAUGACGGUAUUUGAGGAAUAAGGAUGGGCUAAUUCUGUGCCAGCAGCCGCGGUAAUACAGGACAUCCAAGCGUUAUCCGGAAUUAUUGGGCGUAAAGGGUGCGUAGGUUGUUAUAUGUGUUUGUUAUUAAAUUUUAGGGCUUAACUUUGAAAAUGUAUUGAAGACUAUAUAACUAGAGUUCACUAGAGGUAAAGGGAAUUUUCAGUGUAGCGGUGAAAUGCGUAGAUAUUGGAAAGAACACCGGAGGCGAAGGCGCUUUACUAGGUUGAUACUGACAUUGAGGCACGAAAGCUAAGGGAGAGAUUAGGAUUAGAUACCCUCGUAUUCUUAGCAGUAAACAAUGGGUACUAAAUGGCGUUAUAAAACGCUGUUAAAGUUAACACGUUAAGUACCCCGCCUGGGGAGUAUGCUUGCAAAAGUGAAACUCAAAGGAAUUGACGGGGGCUCGCACAAGCAGUGGAGCAUGCGGUUUAAUUCGAUGAUACCCGAAGAAUCUUACCAGAAUUUGACAUGCCAAAAAGGGUUUUGAAAGAAAUUUUGCUCUUAGGAGAAUUUGGAUACAGGUGGUGCAUGGCUGUCAUCAGUUCGUGUAGUGAUAUAUUUAGUUAACUCUAGAAACGGACGCAACCCUCUUUUUUAGUUGUUUUUUUAAUAUCUAAAAAUACUGCCGAUGAUAAGUCGGAGGAAGGUGAGGAUGAGGUCAAGUCAUCAUGCCCCUUAUAUUCUGGGCUACACGCGUGCUACAAUGGGUAAGACAAUGAGUCGCCACUUUGUAAAAAGGAGCUAAUCUCGUAAACUUAUCCUUAGUUCAGAUUGAGGGCUGAAACUCGCCCUUAUGAAGAUGGAAUUGCUAGUAAUCGCCAAUCAGAUAAGUGGCGGUGAAUUCGUUCCCGAGCCUUGUACACACCGCCCGUCACACUAUGGAAGUUGGUUGUAUUUUAAGAUAGAGUCUUAACAUUUGGUGGAUCUAUUUAUGAUCUGGUCAGCAACUAGAGUGAAGUCGUAACAAGGUAGCCGUACUGGAAGG
rnacentral:rRNA from 1 species